GAGCAAGGGCGUCAAAAUUAUAAGAUGACAUGAUAUUUGCAUUGAAGGUUGGUGAUGACGUGAUAUUUGCAUUGAAGGUUGGUGAUAUUGACUAGAAGUUGCGAUUCUCCGUGCCUUGCAAAUCUCUCUUGUUUUGAUUAUGGCCUCGAACAAGUCGCUACAAU